rnacentral:rRNA from 1 species
UUGGAGGGCAAGUCUGGUGCCAGCAGCCGCGGUAAUUCCAGCUCCAAUAGCGUAUAUUAAAGUUGUUGCAGUUAAAAAGCUCGUAGUUGAAUUUCGGGAUCAAAUUGUCGGUCGUGCCUCGGUACGCACUGGUAUUAUUGGUUCCUCCCUUCUGAAGAACCGCGAUGUCAUUAAUUUGGUGUCGUGGGAAAUCAGGACUGUUACUUUGAAAAAAUUAGAGUGCUUAAAGCAAGCGCACGCUUGAAUACGUUAGCAUGGAAUAAUGAAAUAGGACGUUUGAUUCUAUUUUGUUGGUUUCUAGGAUCGACGUAAUGAUUAAUAGGGAUAGUUGGGGGCAUUAGUAUUCAAUUGUCAGAGGUGAAAUUCUUGGAUUUAUUGAAGACUAACUACUGCGAAAGCAUUUGCCAAGGAUGUUUUCAUUAAUCAAGAACGAAAGUUAGGGGAUCGAAGACGAUCAGAUACCGUCGUAGUCUUAACCAUAAACUAUGCCGACUAGGGAUCGGAUGAUGUUAAUUUUUUAAUGACUCAUUCGGCGCCUUACGGGAAAC